rfam:Gossypium hirsutum cultivar TM-1 chromosome 8, whole genome shotgun sequence
AACCAAUGGUGAGGGCACCUUCUCAAUAAAUCCUUGUACCUCUCCUAUGUAUCAUAUAGGGUAUCUAGGUCCAUCUGAAUGAAGGAAGAGAUAUCAUUCCUCAGCUU